rnacentral:misc_RNA from 1 species
AAGUCGUAACAAGGUUUCCGUAGGUGAACCUGCGGAAGGAUCAUUAACAAAGUUUAAAAUUAUAUUUCUUUUGAAAGUUAUAGCAAUAUUUCUUUCAAAAGGUCAUAACAACAAGUAACCUGGGGUACUUUAGAGUAGAGGCAUACUUCGGUGCGUCUUUACUUUAGAGCCCUUCUAAUAAUCCCCUUUUUUACCAUUUUACCCCUUUAAACUAUUAAGACUGAUAUGACAUGAUUUAAUGUCACAAUUAAAUCUGAAAACAACUCUUAACAAUGGAUAUCUAGGUUCUG